GCGUCGAUACUUCAGUGGCAGAGCAGUGGGACGGUACCCCACCGACCCCGGCUUCGAUUCCCGGUCGAUGUU